GCCGACAUAGCUCAAGGAGGCAGAGCAGCCGCCUUUUAAGCGGAAGCGUGGGCGAUCGUGGCCCUCUGUCGGCA
rfam:Scytonema tolypothrichoides VB-61278 scaffold_59, whole genome shotgun sequence.